GCAAACUUGGUCAUUUAGAGGAAGUACAAGUCGUAACAAGGUUUCCGUAGGUGAACCUGCGGAAGGAUCAUUAACAAGUGAACUGCGCAAGCAUUCUGGUCCGCGUCAGCGGAACAGGUGGGGCGAGGGGCGUUGGCCCCGAGUCACUCAUUAAGGGGCGCCUGUGAGGGCGUUCGCUCUUGCGAAUGGGCAAAGCAUCUAGCUAGCCUGUCUUGCAAGAGACUGAGACGAGUGUGAGUUGAGCUUCAUUACAACACAUAACACAUACAACUUUUAACAAUGGAUCUCUGGGCUCCUGCAUCGAUGAAGAACGCAGC
rnacentral:misc_RNA from 1 species